AAGAAAAAUAUAGUUUGCAAAAUACAGAGGAAAAAAAUAGUUUGCAAAAUACAGAAGAGGAAAAAUAUAGUUUGCAAAAUACAGAAGAGGAAAAAUAUAGUUUGCAAAAUACAGAAAAGAGGAAAAAUAUAGUUUGCAAAAUACAGAAAAGAAAAAAAUAGUUUGCAAAAUACAGAAAAGAGGAAAAAUAUAGUUUGCAAAAUACAGAAAAGAAAAAAAUAGUUUGCAAAAUACAGAAAAGAGGAAAAAUAUAGUUUGCAAAAUACAGAAAAGAGGAAAAAUAUAGUUUGCAAAAUACAGAAAAGAGGAAAAAUAUAGUUUGCAAAAUACAGAAAAGAGGAAAAAUAUAGUUUGCAAAAUACAGAAAAGAAGAAAAAUAUAGUUUGCAAAAUACAGAAAAGAGGAAAAAUAUAGUUUGCAAAAUACAGAAAAGAAGAAAAAUAUAGUUUGCAAAAUACAGAAAAGAAGAAAAAUAUAGUUUGCAAAAUACAGAAAAGAAGAAAAAUAUAGUUUGCAAAAUACAGAAAAGAGGAAAAAUAUAGUUUGCAAAAUACAGAAAAGAAGAAAAAUAUAGUUUGCAAAAUACAGAAAAGAAAAAUAUAGUUUGCAAAAUACAGAAAAGAAGAAAAAUAUAGUUUGCAAAAUACAGAAAAGAAAAAUAUAGUUUGCAAAAUACAGAAAAGAAGAAAAAUAUAGUUUGCAAAAUACAGAAAAGAAAAAUAUAGUUUGCAAAAUACAGAAAAGAAAAAUAUAGUUUGCAAAAUACAGAAAAGAAGGAAAAAUAUAGUUUGCAAAAUACAGAAAAGAGGAAAAAAAAGUUUGAAAAAUACACAGAAAAAAAUAUAUAGUUUGCAAAAUGCACUUCAGGAAAAAAAUAACUUGGGAUAUCACAUUAUAAUCCCAAAGCCAGGAAAAAAAGAUUAGACAAGUUAAUGAUAAGUUAAUAACAAGAUAAUAAGGUGAUAAGAUACAUAUCCGUUUUCUUUCUUACCCAACUUUCUAUUGCUAGUGAGAAUGGACCCCUGGACUGAAUAUUUGGUGGGUAACUCAUAAAUACUGAAGGAACAAAAAAAAACUAUACUCGUAAUAAUAAUAAUAAUAAUAAUAAUAAUGAUAACAAUAAUACCGGUAAUAAUAAUAAUGAUAAAUAAUGGGUUUGUAAUAGUAAUAAUGAUAAUAUUAAUAAAAAGGAAAUAAGUAAAAAUCGGAAACCAGGAAAUGAAGAAAAAAAACGAAAAAUGAACGAAAAAACAAAAAAUUCACUCGGACAAAAUAAAUUACGGGAAACUAAUAAUAAUAAUAAUAAUAAUAAUAAUAAUAAUAAUAAUAAUAAUAAUAAUAAUAAUGAGUGACAAUACAACAUCUCUCACUUUCACUCUCACUCAUUUUCAUUUUCACUCACUUUCACUUUCAUUUUCCCUCAUUUUCACUCUCAUUUUUUUCACCUUCAUUUUCACUCACUUUCACUUUCAUUUUCACUUUUUUCACCUUCAUUUUCAUUCACUUUCACUUUCAUUUUCCCUCAUUUUCACUUUCACUUUUUUCACCUUCAUUUUCACUCACUUUCACUUUCAUUUUCACUUUUUUCACCUUCAUUUUCACUCACUUUCACUUUCAUUUUCACUUUUUUCACCUUCAUUUUCAUUCACUUUCACUUUCAUUUUCCCUCAUUUUCACUUUCACUUUUUUCACCUUCAUUUUCACUCAUUUUCACGCUCAUUUUCAUUUUCACUUUUUUCACCUUCAUUUUCACUCAUUUUCACUCACUUUCACUUUCAUUUUCACUUUUUUCACCUUCAUUUUCACUCACUUUCACUUUCAUUUUCACUUUUUUCACCUUCAUUUUCACUCACUUUCACUCAUUUUCACUCACUUUCACUCAUUUUCACUCACUUUCACUCACUUUCACUCACUUUCACUCACUCUCACCUGGUCACCUUAGCUCACCUUUCCAGCCUUCCCCGCCCUAAUUAGAGUUUAGAGGAACGACCUUCAUAUACCUGAGGCCACAAGAGGAGGAGGAGGAGGAGAAGGAAGAGGA